UAGACCUGAGGUCAGGCAAGACCA
rnacentral:rRNA from 1 species